ACCCCGACGUCGCCGAGACCCGCCGCGUCGGAGUGCCAGCAAUGAAACGACGGCGGGUGCGGAGGAACCAUCGUGGCGCCGCGACGCGGUGCCACCGGGGUGAAGCCGCCACCGGGUCCACCAGGGCCCACCGGCGGCCGGGCACCUCCAGGCCCGAACCCGACAGCUAACUUCGUAGGCGUCCGGAGGAACACAU
rnacentral:sRNA from 1 species